CACAAAAAUACUCCCAUUCUCGUCGCCUUUCUUUCCCCUCAAAUCCAUCUCACAAUUCACUCUCAACCAAAAUCCCUAAAUCAACGAAAACUCUAGAUCAGAAUCCCCAAUUCGAAUUUCCGUCGCCCCUCUUCUUCCUUAACGCUCUUCGCCGGCGUCGCUCCCUUCCGGCGUUCACACACCACUGCCGGAGUCCAGCAGAGCCCUCGUCACUUUGCGAGGCUUCUGCCUCCGCUGCUGCUCGACGAGGCUCGAGACGCCGCCGCUUCGCGCUACUGCUCCUGCAGCGCCGUCGCCCCGGUCAACGCCAAACCGCCGCCGGCGCUUCCCUUGGCGCCUCCCUUUCGAGCUCUCUCUCUCUCCGUUGAAACCACGGAGGAGUUCUGCGUUCUCCGCCGUUUUGCCACCUGUCGGCCUCUACUCCGGUUGACGCCUUUCCCGCCGUCGUCGGCAUUCCGUUACUCCCCCUCGCUUCCCUCCUCUUCUCUCGUGACGACGGUCAUCGUCUCGACGGCCAGCCGCCGCCUCUCCCCUGCUGCCGGAGCAGCAUCUGCUUCGCGGAUGCCGCCUCUCCCCUGCUGCCGGAGUAGCAUCUUCUUCGCGCAUGGUUCACGGCGUCUGGUCGACGCCGACCCAUCCCCUCGACUCCGGCUCGAUCCGGCCCGCCAACGAAGCGACUUGCCGCCGCCGCCUUCGUCGGACAGAAGCUAAGUCUUUACCCUCUCCCGCUUAUUUUACUCGUCUAAGCUCUGGAAAGCAAAUUUUGGAGAAGUUGAAUUGGGUCUUCGCUUGAUUUUAGGCAGGUGUUGAUUAUAGUUAAAUUGAUAGAGUUAUGCUCUUGUUGUGUAUGUGACAAGGCUCGAGAAGAACUAAAGUUUCGUUCCUUCAUUGUGUGUUACCUCUGGUGAUGGUGGUUGUUAAACCUUGGUGUAGAAGAUUUGCAGCCCCUCUUACUUCCUCUUUUUACUCGCUCUCAUUCACAAAAACAAUCUCUCUCGGUUUCCUUUCUUUAAUGGUGCGUGGUUUAUGGUGGAGUUGAUCAAGUGUGUGUGUAUGAGGGUAUAUACAUGCAACUGCACACUGUGGUUUUGUUGAGAUUUAGCAGGAAUCAAAUCUGCAAGUUCCUUGUCUUUUGUUAAACUGAUUCGCUGUUCUUUUGGAGUAGUACAAGGGGUGUACUCGUGGAAUUAAAUGUGCUGCUAUAUUACUUUGUUCUCUUCUUGGAGCAACUCUUUUUUUUCAAAUGAUGCUGCAGCAAUUUAACUGAAAUAUUGGUGGUGUACUAGAAUCCUGCAGCAACUUUAACUGCCAUUUGGCUCCAUGUGAGUGCCUAGUACUUAGUUAAUAAGUGGGAUUGUUUGUUGUGGCAGGUGCAUAGGCAUAAUGCAGGUGCUGCUAUGAGGAAUGGAGGUUGCAGGAUCUGACUUGCUCUCUUUGGCAAGGUAGCAGGCGUAUAUAGGCUGACUGGAUCAGUUUGACAAUCCGACUUGAUUAAGCCACAACGAUAAACUAAGAAGAUGAAGAGAGAACAAUUGAAAGAAAUAUGAGUUUUCAUCUCUCGUUGGUGGCUCCUUCGAUUCAGAUCCCAUAUUUGGAUAGGAUCAGAACCGCUCCCGUACGUGACAGCAAGUCCAUCCCAUAGGUCUCUUGCCGUCUCAUACCGGGAUACCUCGUUCACAAGGCUUGUUUCGAGGUUCUCGGUUGGGAAGGGUUAGGCUAAAGGUCGAGAAGGGUUAGGGACGAUGAUGACUCUAUUCCUGAGUCCCAUGGAAGAUUUAGCCUGCUCUGAUACCAUCUUAAGAAAGGAUUUCAACCGAGAGGAAAAGAUGUGGGAGUGAAGGAAUCAUUUUUAUCUCUGUGUGUUUUAUAUACAAUCUUUACACCCUUUUAUAGUUCCGAGAUGAGAGUAUUCUGGUGGAUCAGAAGGAAGAAACCAGGAAAGACAGAAGGUGAGAGGUCGGGAAAAGGGAAACAUGCCUAGAAGCUCUAGCUGAAAAUUUAUCCAUAUUCUUGCUAAGAGUGGAGUCGUAGCAGAGGCACCCAAAAACUUACUUUAAGUUUAGAGUAUGAAGGUGGUGUAUUGAAGAGGAUUUGAAAUGAUGAAACAUUAUGUUGAAGUACAAAAGAUGGAAUAUGAUUUAUGAGGUAAGAGGAUGCAAGAAUGCAAUAUCCCCAUAAUGUGAAAGGCGAGAUUGGAAAGAAGGCUUCUAGCAAUGUUGAGAAAAGAUGUUGAUAUCUUCUCUCAACUCGUGCAUUAUGCUUAGGAGUAUCAACACAAGAAUGUUGAACAAUGGUCCCAGAAGAUGAAAAAAGAUCUGAAAGAUUGAAUUAUGAGGAAUUGUCAGUUUUGAUGAUUUUAUUUUCUUUGAGAAUUGGGUGAUGAUGACUAUGAUGAAGAACUUUGUGAUUACUGAUUUCACAUCCAAUAGGGCUUAGGAAAGUCUAAUCAAAUAUAGUAGUGUCAUCAACUAUAAUGAGAAAGUAAUUGUACCUUUGUGUUAUGUGCAUGGAGAGAAAGGUCCCCACACAUCACGACGAAUGAGAUCAAAUGUACUCUCUACUACAGAAUCAGAAUUGAGAAAUGAUAAGUGUUCUUGUUUAGCUGAAGGGUAAGCAUCACACAAGGAAGGAGUUUUAUCUAGAAAAUAUAAGGCAUCAGACAUAGAGUUGAGUUUAUUAAAAGAUAUGACUUUAUUGAAAGAUAGGUGCCAGAGAUCAACACUAACAAUAGAAUUGAUACAAAAAGAAGAGAUAAUGUCUGGUUGAUUAAAGUAUCAACUUCAACAUCAAUUGUGUUACGAUUACCAAGACGGCUACCCUUUCCAGUCACAAUCCCAUGUAAAGCUUCUAGAAUUUCAAGAGAGUUAUGAGUGCAAGUAACAGUAAAAGAUAGGGAAAAGGUUAAUGAGCUGACUGAAAUAAUACUUCAUAACACCUAGAGUUGGAAUCAACUUACAAAAGAUAAAGUUGUGAAUCAACUAAGGUAAAAGAAUCUUAUGUCUAGAGAGCAAAAUAUAAAGAGCUAAGGGGAAGCUAAGUUCUAAGUCUAAGAAAUGCUCUCAUCUUUCUUGCUCACAAUUCCCUUAAAUACUUCCACCUAGAACCACAGUCACACAUACACGUGUGGUGCACAUGAGUAUUAAGCGCCUUCUUCGAGAAGUUCACCCGUUCAGUCCGCAGCAGAAACCUGUUUGCUAAGUUAGGCGUAUGUUCGCAAAUUUCCAACUUUGUGGCACGGACAUAUAGAACUAAUUGAUCAUCUUCAUCAGCUUGGAGAACCCUUCGGUUAAUCUUCUCUAUCCAACUGCUUCCGACUUGUGUUUAUUGUGAAUUUACCUCCAAACUCUACAAAUUUAUCCCAUUAUAGUACUCCUGACGUCCCUAAUAAGUUGAGUCAAAAGUAGGAGAUAGAAAUAAAGUAGGAAAGAUGAAAAGAGAGUGAAGUAUGAUGGAAUAAAGAAAGAGUGAUGGGAGUUUUGUUUUUCUGUUAAAAAAAUUAAAUGACUCAACUUAGUUGGGACAUCCCACAAAUAAUAUGACUCAAACUUAGUUGGACAGGGGGAGUACAAAAAUAAUAAUCGAUGACACAAAUCAACUUAUCACACAUGACGUCGUUCAUUUCCUUAGGUAAGGACACUUUCGGAUUGACGUCACAACCUUUCACGAUAGGUAGUCUAUCUAGGUUGUGAAAUUCCUUUCUGUUCUGCAAUAGCAGACUUAGUUACCUACUGUGAACGUUGUUCACAACUAAUCUACUAUGCAGAAGAUUUGACUUGUUUGCUUCUUAUGUAUUUAAAUGUAAAUAAAAACAUCUUAUAAAUGCAUGAGCAAAACACAUUGUAACCAAUAUUCCAUCUCAUAUAUAUAGUGAAAAAAUGGAUGAGCAAAACACAUUGUAACAAAUAUUCCAUCUCAUAUAUUAGUGAAAAAAUGGAUAAAGAGUUAUGCUAGCAUUCAAAGAUGUUUUACAAUAUACUAAACUCUAACAACAUUGCAAUAUACGCAUUGGGACUGAGCUUAAUUGUUGUAUUACUAGAAAAGAAACAUACAAAAGCUAGAUUGUUAAAGUUCUAAGAUAGAUAUGCCCACUGUUCAUGAACCGGCAGUUCCGAUUUUGCGAAAUGUGGAAGUAGAAUCGGAAUCGGAAUCGGAAUCGGAACCGUGAGGUUGUUUCACGGUUUCGGUUUCGGUUCCGGUUCUGAACCGCCAGUUUUCAGGCGGUUCCUCGCGGUUUAGGUUCCGUUUCGCUGUUAUGGCGGUUUUUAAAUUUUUUUUUGCUAGGUAAUUUGAACUUAUACAUUAAAUUUUAAUGGACAACGGUACAUUAUAAUUUACAUAUACAAUGUAAUAUAACUUACAAGUGUCGUCGGAACAUAAAUUAAAAAACACGAAAUGGGGGGAAAAGGAAAAAAAUGAAAAGGGCUUGAGCUCAACUUAAACUUUCAAAUUAAACUUUUCAAAUAUAUGUUGAGUUGCCUACGUAUCCACAAUUUUAUUGAGGAACCAAAGUCCACGUAGUUCUCUUACCUUGCUUACCUUUUUGGUCGGCCGUGUUUGCCGCUCACCGCCUCCCCGUCAUUGAUAUUGUAGUGCGGCCUCGCUUCCGACCUUGUCAUCGGUGGAUAAGUCUUCACCAUCACUCUCUACACGGAAGUCGAAAUCUGACUCUUGUGCUCUCAUGUCCGCCUUUGCCCAAUCAUCGAGUAACAUAGUGGCUUCCAUGUUUUUGGCGGAGAGAUUGCUCCUUUUGUUGUCUAGGACACAAUCGCCGACACUAAAAGCUUGCUCAACGGCGACGGUGGAAGUAGGAACGGCGAAAAAUCUCCUAAACCAUUACUGAGAGUAUCAGAAACUCUUUGUCAUGUGAUGACCACCAAUCAAGGACGUCAAUUUGUUGAGUAUGAGGACUUGCAUCUUGAAAAAUAGCUCUAGUCUUAUUGGUGGUAGCACUGUAUAGAUCUUGCAAUUGUGAUACUACGUCUGGAUCAAUCAUGACGUUGCUAUAGUUCCCGCCACCAAAAUCAAAUGCAGAAGGACUAGGAGGAGCACGUACUUGGUGAGUGAUGUUAUACCGCAUUUCAUAUUCCGCGUAGAUAGCACGAAGUGCACUAUCUAACCUUAGUUUGAUUUCUUCAACAUUCAGAAGACUUAGUUCGAAGCCUUCUCCUCUUGUCAAACACAUUUCUCGAAGUUGAGAAAAAUCCAAAUCGUGCAAACAACCAUAGUACAUAUCUAAAAUACGCGCAAAAUAUUUCAGCCAUUUUUCCACCAUAUAAAAUAAAAUAGCCUUCAAUUCUAUUAAUUAAGUAUUUUUCACAGAUGUCUUAAAACCAAUUGACAUGUACAUGCAAUGCUCCAAAACGUGCACACAAGUAGGAUAAUAAACAUCAGAUAACUCAACAAUGGCAUAUUUGAAAGCUUGGAAUAAUCGAGACAAAUCUAUGAUGUGUUCCCAACAAGAGGGUAUCAAAAGCAUAUCAGAAGGAGCAUGUGGGCAACUUCUAAAAAAAUCACAUAAAUAUUUAAUGUGGUUCAAGGUCGACUCCAACAUAUCGUACGUCGAGUUUCAACGAGUUGAACUUCCAAACGAAAAUUGGUGUACCUGCACUGCUUGCUAUGAUAAUAUUUCUUCCAAACUCUAUCAAUAGGAGUUUUGUUAUGAAUCAAUUAAACAACAAUUCUAACAGGAUCAACAUACUUUUGUCACAAAUCGAUCGCAUCUUGAACACAUGAAUUCAAAAUAUGAGCAAUACAUCGCACAUGAAAAUUUUUGCCAUAAAAAACUUGAAUGAUCAAAACCAACAUAUUAUUGAUCAAUUGAGUAAUUGCUUGUGCAGUAUGUGGUGCGGGAAAUUCCCUAAAUGCAAUCAAACGUUUGUUCAAAAUCCAACUGUGAUCAACAAAAUGCAUAGUGAUGCCCAUAUAUGACUUUUUGCAAAAACAAAUCAGUUCACACAUCCGAGAAAAUUGAAACUUUAUGGCCCAAGUUAACAAUAAAUGUACCUAAUUGCGCCUUCUCUUCCGAGCAUUGUCGAAUGACAAACACAGAUUUUGCAUGUUUUUAAGGUCUUGAUUUGGCUCGUUUAAAAUAUCAAUCAUGCAUAUUAUGUUCAUUAUUCCAUAUAUUUCUACAUUUUGGUAUUUUGACGUGUUUGUUGAGAAAUUACAGAAAAUGACUUAAAAAGGUGCAAAAAGGCUAAUGUGUUGCAGCCUCAGUUCAAGCCGAGUUUCCCGACAGUGUUAGAGUCUAAUCAGUGAUUAUUUCAUACCAUUCUCUUCGUCUUCGAAAGAGCUUUGCGUGGAUACCUUGAACGUCUCAAUCGGAGUUCUGUGGAGAAAGUUAUGACUAUUCUACGAACAUUACGCGAUGCAGUCAAAGCUGGCGGAAAUUAGGAUGAAAUUCAAAGAAGAAAAUAAAUUGUUAACCCAAAUCUCUCCAAUUUCUUAUAGGGCACGAAAAUCAUCAAAAUAAUCCUUUAUCAUGCCAAUAAAUACUCAACCCUAAUCCAAUUCUUCUUUAUCUCAUAGCCUCCAAUCCUUCUCCCUCUCUACACAUUCUUCCAUCCCACAUUCCACACAUAGUUCAUCCAUCUUCCAUUGGAGCGGAGCUCUGUAAAUCCAGGCAAUAGAAGACUGGAGAUUGAAGAUUCUACAUUGGGUUUUAUCUAUUUCUUUCAUGUCUCGUACUUUAAUUGGUGUAUUUACUUGUCUAUGAGUAGAACAUCUUUUGUGGAUUUUUUUGGUGAAGAUAUUCAAUUGAUUUUCCUUGUUAGUU